rnacentral:tRNA from 1 species
GGUACCGUUGGUCAAGCGGUUAAGACACCGCCCUUUCACGGCGGUAACACGGGUUCGAAUCCCGUACGGGUCA